AGGAAUGUAGUUAAAUAUAACAUUUGAUUUGCAUUCAAAAAGUAUUGAUUUUUCAAUCUUUCUUA
rnacentral:tRNA from 1 species